AGCGAACGCUGGCGGCAGGCCUAACACAUGCAAGUCGAACGAACUCUUCGGAGUUAGUGGCGGACGGGUGAGUAACACGUGGGAACGUGCCUUUUGGUUCGGAAUAACUCAGGGAAACUUGUGCUAAUACCGAAUGUGCCCUUCGGGGGAAAGAUUUAUCGCCAUUAGAGCGGCCCGCGUCUGAUUAGCUAGUUGGUGAGGUAACGGCUCACCAAGGCGACGAUCAGUAGCUGGUCUGAGAGGAUGACCAGCCACACUGGGACUGAGACACGGCCCAGACUCCCAAGGGAGGCAGGCGUGGGGAAUCUUGCGCAAUGGGCGAAAGCCUGACGCAGCCAUGCCGCGUGAAUGAUGAAGGUCUUAGGAUUGUAAAAUUCUUUCACCGGGGACGAUAAUGACGGUACCCGGAGAAGAAGCCCCGGCUAACUUCGUG
rnacentral:rRNA from 1 species